UCCUCAUUUUGGCUUACGAGUCC
rnacentral:piRNA from 1 species